GCUCUUUUGUCCACUGAGCUGUGGGUAGCACUUUUCUCUCAGCCAGGACUGGAGAUUAGCCCUUUAGUGUCAUGGAUCAUUGUCUUAAGGACUGCCAUGAGUAGAGAGCCAUGCUUUCCUGACUCAGACACUC
rnacentral:snoRNA from 1 species